rnacentral:rRNA from 1 species
AUGAUGAAUCCCCAUGGCAACCACGCGCCGUACGCGCCCUGGGGCCAGCAAGGUGUCGGGUCUCCGACGUCGCAGCCAUGGGGAUCGCCGGGCUACGCCGACGUCGACGUGCACGGUGGGUUCAACCCAAAUGUCACGUUCCCCCAUGGACACCGGGCCCAGCGCACGCCCUCGCCCGCCUUCACCGGCGUGCAGUACCCUCCAUACAACUACUCGCCGCCCGCGUACGCAUCCUCCCCGACGCCCCCUCUCCGCCGUUGCGCACUGCCCUUCUCGCACCUCGGCGACGCCGACGAGACCGAGACCGACAUGGACGACAUCAUCGCGGAAGGAUCGGCCGCGGCCGCCGCGUCUCCCGGUUUCACCGCGGAUGAGGCGGUGGAUCUCAGCGGCGGCAUGGACGCCGAGCUCGUCUACAUCUACGGCGACGAGGAGCAAGAGGAGCAGGAGGAAGAGGACGAGGAGGAGCCGGCGAGGAGGCGCAAGAAGAAGAAGCGGACGGCCAGGUCAGCCGAGCCGCGCAUCAAGUGGGCGUCCAAGGAGGAGGAAUGCCUCGCCGAGGCAUGGAAAGUCGUCUGCGUCGACCUGACCACCGGCGCGAACCAGAGCAUCGACACGUACUAG